CUGGGCUCUGCUAGCUGCCUUUCUGGAGAGCUGUUGUAACUGCAGUGACCUGCUUAAUCUUCCCAGGACCUUCAAUUUUUUCAUGGCAGCUUGGGAAACAACUGCUGAUAGAUUGUUUACCUUGAGGACAUUGAGAAGUAUUGUUCAAAAGGGCUAUAGACAAACACAGUGAAAACUUGCCCAGGAUUUGGAAACAAAUGCCCUGGUAUACUGGAGAACAGCUACUGUAUGGAGACUGCUGCCUGUCUGAGCAUUGUUCUCUUAUAGGUGGAAGGCUUUAAAGAGGAAAGAGCUGGAGUUUCCAAAAACAUCUUUAUUAACCAAAAUAGUGCAAGGAUGUGUUUCAGACUGCUGUGCAACUUGUCAAUGUAUUUGUGUUUUUCUCAGUAGGAGUAUCUGUGUUGUAUUGGCUUAUCUAGUAAAAGUGCUGUAUAUGUUCCCAUUGAAGACAUAUCAAAAGAAACUGAAUGAGUAACUAAUAAAUGGUUGUUCUUGUCAUCCUUCCUGUA